UUUAAAACAAUAAAUUGCAAGUUUAUUAAUAUUUAAGAAAUCAUUAGAUGAUGAACUGUAAAU
rnacentral:tRNA from 1 species